rnacentral:rRNA from 1 species
CCUACGGGGGGCAGCAGUGGGGAAUAUUGGACAAUGGGGGGAACCCUGAUCCAGCCAUGCCGCGUGUGUGAAGAAGGCCCUCGGGUUGUAAAGCACUUUCAGUGAGGAAGAACGCCUGGUGGUUAAUACCCAUCAGGAAAGACAUCACUCACAGAAGAAGCACCGGCUAACUCCGUGCCAGCAGCCGCGGUAAUACGGAGGGUGCGAGCGUUAAUCGGAAUUACUGGGCGUAAAGCGCGCGUAGGUGGCUUGAUAAGCCGGUUGUGAAAGCCCCGGGCUCAACCUGGGAACGGCAUCCGGAACUGUCAAGCUAGAGUGCAGGAGAGGAAGGUAGAAUUCCCGGUGUAGCGGUGAAAUGCGUAGAGAUCGGGAGGAAUACCAGUGGCGAAGGCGGCCUUCUGGACUGACAAUGACACUGAGGUGCGAAAGCGUGGGUAGCAAACAGGAUUAGAUACCCUUGUAGUC